GGGCCAGAUACUGCUUCCACUGAAGUCAAUGGGAGUUUUUCUAUAGACUUCAGUGGGAGCAGGAUUAGA
rnacentral:miRNA from 1 species